GACGAACGCUGGCGGCGUGCCUAAUACAUGCAAGUUGAGCGAUGAAGCUUGGUGCUUGCACCAAUUUGAAGAGCAGCGAACGGGUGAGUAACGCGUGGGGAAUCUGCCUUUGAGCGGGGGACAACAUUUGGAAACGAAUGCUAAUACCGCAUAACAACUUUAAACAUAAGUUUUAAGUUUGAAAGAUGCAAUUGCGUCACUCAAAGAUGAUCCCGCGUUGUAUUAGCUAGUUGGUGAGGUAAAGGCUCACCAAGGCGAUGAUACAUAGCCGACCUGAGAGGGUGGACCGCCAACAUGGGAAUGGGAAAAGGCCCAAACGCCUACGGGAGGGAGCCGUAGGGAAUCUUCGGAAAGAGAGGGAAGGCCUACCGAACAAAGCCGGCGGAGGGAAGAAGGUUCUCGGAUCGGAAAACUCUGUUUGUAGGGAAGAACGUUGGUGAGAGUGGAAAGCUCAUCAAGUGACGGUACCUAACCAGAAAGCGACGGCUAACUACGUG
rnacentral:rRNA from 1 species